rnacentral:tRNA from 1 species
UGAUCAGAAGCUGAAUUGUAAGCAUCUAGCUGUUAAUUAGAAGGUUGUAGAAUUAAAACUUUACCUGAUCAG